GUGCCAGCAGCCGCGGUAAUACGGAGGGUGCAAACGUUGCUCGGAAUCAUUGGGCGUAAAGCGCACGUAGGCGGUUCGCUAUGUCGGAUGUGAAAGCCCAGGGCUUAACCCUGGAAGGGCAUCCGAAACUGGCGGGCUUGAGUACGGAAGAGGGUCUCGGAAUUCCCGGUGUAGAGGUGAAAUUCGUAGAUAUCGGGAGGAACACCAGUGGCGAAGGCGGAGACCUGGGCCGAUACUGACGCUGAGGUGCGAAAGCGUGGGGAGCAAACAGGAUUAGAUACCCCCGUAGUCC
rnacentral:rRNA from 1 species